AAGCUGAGCCGCAAGAAACGAAACAAAGAUGUUCUUUCUUGCUUUCUUUUCUUCCUUCCUUCCUUUCACCAUCUCUGCAUUAAUUCUGUUGUUCGGUUGCUCUGGUGACCGCUAAUGGCGGCUGGUUUGUGUCGGACACGCCGUGCAUUUUAACUGAGAGAGAUACCGUAAGAGGAAGGCUGGAAUACAACAUGGAAACAGGAGAAAGGCGGAGGGAAAAAACAGCUAAUUGACAUUUUGAAGAAUGCAGGAGAGAGAAGGGAACACGUUGGUGUUUAUCCAGAGCAGAAGAUGACGAACGAGUGAGAAGAAAAGAGAUGAAAAAGAUGCUGACAGGAUGAAUGCUGGCUGGAUGAACCUGUCGGUGUCUGGUUGGCUUGCAAACAGGUGGAAGCUGAAUUAGUGAGGAUGACUCCUGCUCCUGUCAUCUCUAAGCUCCUCACACAUCUUUACCUGCACAUGAGGAAAAUCACUCCUGUAGAAUGCAGAUGUUCAGAGGGAGAUGAUGCCACAUCUGGUCCAGCUGAUGGAAGGUCUUGAAGUUCUCUGACUGGCCUCGACUGAAGAUGGUCGUCUCACUGGAUUUAAGGUUCAGAUGCUCAGUAACAAACUCCACCAAUGAGCCAACAGGGAAGCUUGAGGUUUAUUAAAUGUUGCUAUGAAGGUAUCGCUGUUUUUCUUAGUGAAUGCAAUGUGCUCCAACUGAAACUUGAAUUAGAACUUAGAAGUAAAUCCUUCCAUCUGACAGGAUUUAGUUGCAUUAAUAACCUCAUAACAUUCUAAUUUUUAUUCCAGUCUUGGUUGAAAAUAGAAUCUCUGUAUUGAUUCAGGUAAAAACUGAACUUCACAGCAUGUUGGAGCAAAACAACCAGAUGAAAACUGUGAUGGUGUUGGAUUGUCAGACCGUAAUGUUGCAGCUCAAAGCAGCUUUUCUAUCUCAGUUCAUUCUGACAUUCAGCUAUGAAUCAACACAGCAGAUGGUGAUCCAUGCUGUGGAAGUCUCACAUCUCCUGAUUUAAUGGAGCUGCUUUGCACUUUUUACACUGUUUAUUCACCAACACUUUAUUUAAUAAAAGUCCCAUCUAGUUUUUAUGAGGAAUGUGAUGUUUUAAUUUCUCUGUGAAUAACUGCAGUCUAAUGCAACAGCUGGAGUUGUAACAUCUGUCCUGAUAUUGAUCAUGAAGUAUUGAUCAGAAUACUUAUGAUUAGCAGUCAUCCCUGAAGUUUUACAUUAAAAUCUUUACUUGUGUUGUGAACUUUGGUAAGAAGCAGAAACUUUAGCGUUGCCAUGGAUACAUGAGUGUUAAAUUCUGUCCAUGUUUCCAUUUUGGGAAAUUCAGUCCAGUUCCAGAAUGUGGAGGAAUUUAGUCUCAAUCACAGUCAACAAAUAUUAUCUGAAAGUCGGGUUAUUGUUGUUUAUCAGCACAAUAGAAAAAAGAUUAAUGUUAGAAAUAUUCCAGUUAAGACUCUAGAAUAUCAUGAUUUAUGUAAAUUUACCUCAAUAAUAUGAAUGUUCAGUUUGAUUGUGCAGUGAUUUUUAUUCUGUAAGUUCAGCUGAUUAAAGUUUGACUCUGCACUACAAUAUUAUUUAUUAUUUAAAUUUACAUCAUUAUUAUAAUAUUUAGGGUCAGACCCUACAGUAUUGAGAUUAAGAAAUCAAAUAUUCUAUAAAAUGUAAAUAUACUGAACUCAUUUGGAUAUAUUUAAGUGAGACUCUACAAUAUUAUUUGACACAAAUGUAUCUAAAUCAAAAUUUUAAUAAUUUUCAUGCCAAACAUUUACUGGACUGAUUUAAAUAUUAAAAUCACUCCUUUCUAAUCCUCUGCUGUACGUUCAAACCUGAGGCCUUAAAUAGAAACACACAAGUAUCUGAUUGAAGGAACUUCUGCAGAGUCCUGGUUCCAGAACAUGAUGAUAGAAUUAUAGACAAACUUUAACAAAAGCUGCCUGAGAGUUUACAGGUUUUUAUGUUGGAUUUCUUCAGUAAUUUAAUGAGAUUUAUCAGCAAAAAUCAAGUGUUCAUUUGAUGAACUUCAUUUCCUAAAACAUCCAGAAUUGGAGCUCAUAUCUUUGGCAGUUGUAAAGUUUCUGCUCCUUCAAAGUUCACAACACAAUAAAUGAAUUCCUAAAACACUCUCAAUGCUGGAGAGUGUUUGAUGCUGAAGCAGUGAUCAGUUUUUCUGUUUCUUCUCUGGAGAUGCACAAUGAGGGACGUCUGCAGUGACUGAGAAAGAGUCUCACCACAUCCUGACAUGAGGAAAAAGACUUUAUUGAAGACUACAAUGAGAAAAACUAUCAGACAGCAGACGGCUGCAUUCAAGGUGAGCUCUGAACAUUUGAUCUGGAACAGGAAUUCAGUAACGGCAGCAUGAGCUUCAUUUCAGUCUGUAGCUGCUGAAUUCAUGGAUGAAUCAUCUGGCACUAGAGAGGAAGACCAUCAAAUAUCCACGUCAGCUGAUGGAGGUCCAAGAGUCUCACCCAACAACCAACCUACAGAGUGAAGACCUUGAAUCUGAUUGGACGGCCUCCUAUUCAGCCACAUUUUAGGCUGUUAGAUUGUUCCAGAUAAGACAAGUACAAGAUUCUUCAGAGCCGUUCUACCACGAGCCUGACAGGAAGAACUCUAACAGCUACUGAAUGUUCCUGUGGUUCCCUCAAGGCUACAGGAGGAGUCCUACGAGGACGAGCCGGUCCACCUGAUGGAGGCCAGUCGCUGCAGUUCAAAGCCAACACCGACUAUGUGGACUUCUACUGGACCACACGGAGGCCUUCAAACCGGACCAACAAGUUCAGCGACUCCCCGACUCGUGGGUCUGAGGACGCCGCCAAGCCUCGGUCCAGCCGGCCUCCUGUCUGGGUGUUUGAGUGCUGAGAGGUUUGUGGAUACAUGUGAACAUAUCUGUGUUGAAACAGCAGCUUUUGCCUCAGUAACGCCGAGAAAAACCAAGAGCUCCUUUAUUUGUGACUUCCACUAAAAAAACUGAUGAAAAUAAGUUUGCCAGGGUUCUGACUGAUAACAGAUUAUUAAAUAAUGAAAAUAAUCAUUUAAAUAUUCCUUUAAACAAUCGUUUUAGGUCUACAUUUCCUUUACACUGACUUCUUGGUAUUUUGGGUGGAAUAUACCAUUAAGCCCAAUGUUCAAGGGUUCUUCUGGGAAUAUACCAUUAAACCAUCCUUUUAGGUAAAUGUUCUAGGAUGUUGGGUAGAAUAUACCAUCAGAUCAACCUUUUAGGUCUACAGUGGAAGAUUUUAGAGUAGAAUAUUACUCCAAACCAUCCUUUAGGUCGACAUUUAAGGUGGAAUACUCCUUUAAACCAAGAUUUUUUUGGUCGACAUUGAAAGAUUUUAGGUGGAAUAUUCCUUUGAAUGAACUUUUUAAGUUUAUGUUAAAGAAUGUUGGGUGGAAUAUACCAUCAGACCAACCUCCAAGGUCUACAGUAGUGAAUUUUAGGUGGAAUAUACCAUUAAACUCACCUUUUAGGUCUACAUUGGAGGAUUUUAGGUGGAAUUUUCUUCCAAACCGUCUUUUAGUCUACAUUUAAGGAUGUUUAGGAUGGUAUAUUCUUCCGAACCAACUUCUCAGGUCUACAUUUCAGGUGGAAUAUUCCUCCAUACUAACUUUUUUGGUCUACAUUGAAGGAUUUUUUCUAAACCACCCUUUCGGGUCUAUAUUUGAGGUUUUAGGUGGAAUAUUCCUUUUAACCAGCCCUUCAAGUCUCUUUGAGGAUUCUGGAUGGACUCCGCGGUUAAACCAACAUUUUAGGUGCAUGUCCAAGGAUUUUUGGUGGAAUGUUUCUUUAAGGUUGAUGUUUGAGGACCUUGUAGGUGGAAUACUUCCUGAAACCAACCUUUUAGGUCAACAUUCAAAGAUUUAAGGUGAAAUAUUCCUUUAAAUCAACCUAAAUUUCAUGUUUUGAUCAUUAUCAAGUGAGAAACCUCAAUCCAGACUCCUCAUAAUGACGUUUGAGAUUUAUGCUGCUGUUAUUUGUUUAGUCCAGACUAAAUGACAGAAAUCCACAACUGUAAUUUUAUUUCAGGACUCGGUUAUUAAAUGUCAAAACAAUCCAUGUGACUCUAAAAACUCAACAGCUUUACAAACUCUAAGAUUAAACUCUCCACAAGGAUCCAAAAUAAGUUGGACUUCUACAUGAGAACUUGAAUUAUUCUUCAUCUACUUCCUGAAAGGUUUGGUCAAUAAAAAAGACAAAAACUAAUAUUUUCAGCUGAACUAAAGACAGAGUUUGUGAUUUUUCUGCUCACAUGUUGUGUUUUUGUAAACUUCCUCUUUCAAAUAAAUAGCCUCCUAACCCCCUGGAAACCAGCGUUUGUCCUGUUUUUGUGUUGCUCCUCGGCGACCCUAGACAGCCGGGUCCUAAUGUUUUUUGAGCAACACACCAUACUAUGACGUUUUUACAAUGAUGGUUCUACUAUGGAACCAGUUUGACAUGUUCAGGUGUUCUUUGUGUGAAAACUCAGAGAUUUCAGGUAUCGGAAGGUGGUUUUCAACUUUCUUUGUUAACUUUAUGCUUCAACUUUAAACUAAAUUUCCUUCACUAACCCAGCCCUCUGGACUUCCAGGAAGCUGUGUUCCUAUUGGCUGUCCAGGUGGCUGCUUGGUGUUAUCAGGAACACCUGAGCAGCUCAGUGUCUUCCUGCUUUAUGUGGCUGCAGACAAACAUUUCCUCUGCUUCUCUUCACCACUGAACCGGGUUUGGCUCCAUUGCUUUAGUUUGUUCUUUAGGCGUCGGCUUGCAGCUUCCAGCAGUAAAAUUGUCUUUAAUGUGUUUCUUGGUGUGUUUUAGGGCUUUGUACUGGACAGUUGUCUUGGUAAAUUUGGUUCUUUAGCCACAGUUAGCACAUGGUGCUAAUGUGUGCAGUGAUUAGUGG
ensembl:lncRNA